rnacentral:miRNA from 1 species
AAGCUCGGGAGGGAUAGCGCC